rnacentral:misc_RNA from 1 species
GAACCAACAGGGAUUGCCCCAGUAACGGCGAGUGAAGCGGCAAGAGCUCAAAUUUGAAAUCUGGCCCCGUCGGGGUCCGAGUUGUAAUUUGCAGAGGAUGCUUCGGGUGCGGCCCCCGUCUAAGUGCCCUGGAACGGGCCGCCGGAGAGGGUGAGAGUCCCGUCUGGGACGGGUGGCCGCGUCCGUGUGAAGCUCCUUCGACGAGUCGAGUUGUUUGGGAAUGCAGCUCUAAAUGGGUGGUAAAUUUCAUCUAAAGCUAAAUAUUGGCCGGAGACCGAUAGCGCACAAGUAGAGUGAUCGAAAGAUGAAAAGCACUUUGAAAAGAGAGUUAAAUAGCACGUGAAAUUGUUGAAAGGGAAGCGCUUGCGACCAGACUCGCCCGCGGGGGUUCAGCCGGCACUCGUGCCGGUGCACUCCCCCGCGGGCGGGCCAGCGUCGGUUUGGGCGGUCGGUCAAAGGCCCCCGGAAUGUGUCGCCCCUCGGGGCGUCUUAUAGCCGGGGGUGCAAUGCGGCCAGCCCGGACCGAGGACCGCGCUUCGGCAUGGACGCUGGCGUAAUGGUCGUAAGCGACCCGUCUUGAAACACGGACCAAGGAGUCUAACAUCUACGCGAGUGUUCGGGUGUUAAACCCGUCCGCGCAGUGAAAGCGAACGGAGGUGGGAACCCCUCGCGGGUGCACCAUCGACCGAUCCUGAUGUCUUCGGAUGGAUUUGAGUAAGAGCGUAGCUGUUGGGACCCGAAAGAUGGUGAACUAUGCCUGAAUAGGGCGAAGCCAGAGGAAACUCUGGUGGAGGCUCGCAGCGGUUCUGACGUGCAAAUCGAUCGUCAAAUUUGGGUAUAGGGGCGAAAGACUAAUCGAACCAUCUAGUAGCUGGUUCCUGCCGA